rfam:Pongo abelii chromosome X.
GCUAAACUAUUUUUGCGAUGUGUUCCUAAUACGUAAUAUAAAUGUAUUGGGGACAUUUUGCAUUCAUAGUUUUGUAUC